GACGAACGCUGGCGGCGUGCUUAACACAUGCAAGUCGAACGGAAAGGCCUCUUUCGGGGGGUACUCGAGUGGCGAACGGGUGAGUAACACGUGAGUAACCUGCCCUUGACUUUGGGAUAACUUCAGGAAACUGGGGCUAAUACCGGAUAGGAGCUCCUGCUGCAUGGUGGGGGUUGGAAAGUUUCGGCGGUUGGGGAUGGACUCGCGGCUUAUCGGCUUGUUGGUGGGGUAGUGGCUUACCAAGGCUUUGACGGGUAGCCGGACUGAGAGAGUGACCGGCGACACUGGGACUGAGAGACGGCCCAGACUCCUACGGGAGGCAGCAGUGGGGAAUAUUGCACAAUGGGUGGAAGCCUGAUGCAGCAACGCCGUGUGCGGGAUGACGGCCUUCGGGUUGUAAACCGCUUUCGCUCAUGACGAAGCUUUGUGUGACGGUAGUGGGUAAAGAAGCACCGGCUAACUACGUG
rnacentral:rRNA from 1 species